CGUUACCUGCAUCAUGCAAGAAAAUAAAAUAUUUUUUUUUCCUUGAAAAGUUGCGAUUUGAAUUCCUGAUCUUGCUCCCGAAGACUUCUCUUCCCCUCUCUAUACAAGAACCCUAAUCGUCUGUUUAGCUUAGCCACAUCCUUAUAUUAUCUCUAUGAAUAACAAAGAAUGAAAGAUUAUGGCUAGAUUUGAUAUAUAGAAGCGUGGUUGAAAUAUUGAGGUUGGAUCAGGAAAAAUCGAAAGUAACAGUCUUUUGUAUAUAGUCGCACCCAUAUGUCCUCUCUAUGAAUAUCCACCGUCAACACCGCCACCAUCCACCAUCAGCCAUCUACAGCCCCUCACCAUAUCCUUUAUUUUAUGUCUCUCACACUCUCAUCAACUCUCGCAAUCUACUAAAAUUGUUCAGGUUUUAGGGGGGUGGGGGAAAGAGUUGCUUAACGAAGAAAAUGAAGAAGAUGGUUGAUUGUUUUAGUUGGAUUUUCCCUUCCCAUUUCACAUGUUCAUCAUCUCAUAAUCUCAGGUGUUGACUUUCUGUCAUUGGCAUUGGAUGAUUACGUGUUUGUAUGGUCAUAUUCCCAUUAUAUGUACCAAGCCUAAGAAUUACAUCAUUCAUUAAAUUGACAAAGGUUGGAGCAGCAUGUUGAUAAGUGUUGUUGGGAAAAACCGAAUAUCCUAUACUACCAUGAUCAUUCUGAGGAUCCAUCACAAUAACCCCAUAUCUUGACUCAUAAGAUUCAUUGAAGCUGGACAUCAAUAGCAUCUUACAAUACCUUACUAGGAUCAGGAAAUGUCUUGAAGCAGAUUUAAACGGGUAUAGCUGAAGAAGAUGCUUAUUUCAGAGUAAAUUAACGACCAUUUUACCCUUCUGUAUAAAAAUUGGGUAUCAUGAGAAGUUGAAUAUAAAGCCAACCUCCAUCCUGAGUGUCUAAACCUCUCAAGAAUCCUUUAAACAUAUGGAAAAAUACAUCUACACAAUUAGUAUGAAUGAGUUUGCUUCAAACUAUACUCCAUUGAAUCCAGAUGGUUUUGAUGCUAUAAAAUGCAAAAAAUAGCAAGGUACAUUGAUAAACCACAAACUUUCUUUAAAGCAUUUUUAACUUUAGCAUCUUGUUUUGCUUUUAUUUUAAGUUAACUUAUUAAAAUAUUGUACUUUGAAAGUACAAUGUCAUAAUUCAGUAGCAUUUUGAAAGUAUAUACAAGCAACUAAUUAUGAAAAACCGAAAAAGCCAUUUUUAUAAAAAAAAAAAAAUAGAAAUUAGAGGUCAAAAUGUGACCUAUAAGAGGUAUGUUUCAUGUAACCAAAAUAUGAAAUACAAAUGCAAAGGACCAAAGCAACUGUUGAUGAUAAUUUUUGUGAUAAGUAACUUUAGUCUACAUACAUUAUAAAACUGAUUAAAUUUUCAAAAAAAAAAAUUAUAACAUAAAAUAUCUUAUUUAAAAAUUGCAUAAUUUGUUGACUGUGUCUCUUUUUCUCUUAAUGUUUUAGCUGUUACUAAUAUUGAUACAAUUGAGAUCAAUAACUUGGAAAAAUUAUAUGGCAGACUUCAAAAAAAGGAUAUUUAUGUAACUAAGCUAACCACCAUCAACCUAUUGUGACAUGAAUAAGAUGUUGCUUCUUUUUUCACAUUAUGAUAAAUUAUGUUCAAAAAAUAGAAAGAAAAUAGAUAAAGACAAGUUCAUAAAAAAAUUACGAUUGAAUAGAUAAAACUUUGGACGUUUGGCUCACUCUACAGCAUACUUCAUUUUUUUUAUACUUAAGAUGAGCAUUUAUUUAACAGAUUCCAAUUUUGUUUCUAUCUUAUUCAUUAGCUACUAGAGCAAAAGUUACUUAUCAUGUCAAUUGCCACCAUCAACUUUACCAAUUACCUAUAAUUAAAAAAAAACUGUUCUCCAAAUUAAUUAAUCAAGAUUUUUGUAUUUUUAUUGUUUUUGAAAAUUAUUAUUCUAAAUCAAUAUCUUUUAAAGUACAAUGUUCUAAUAAGGUAUUAAAGUUAAUAAGUUGUCAACAUUUACGUUAUACAGGUCCCAAAGAGGUUUUUGUUGCUUACGUAGAUGUGAAUGAUCAAAUUUCCAUGUUUGUUUUUAGGAAAGUCCAAAACGCCAAUGGUGACUAUUAUGGACUUUAAUGUUUUGUCUUUUUCUUUUUUAAUCAUCUAAUUUUCUUAUUAUUUCUAACAAAACUUGCAGAAAAUUUUUCAAAAGUCAAACAAUUAGUUUUUAUUGCAAAAUUAACAACAAUUUGUGAUGAUUAAGACACUUCAACAUCAGGAAGCAUUUUUAGCUAGCAAUAAGCUCAUCAAUGUCAAAUUUGAAUUUGAAAUAUAAAACGUUUGACUUUUCAAUACAUGUUCUUUAUAGCAACCUUGUGCUUAUCUUCAUGCAAAAUGACUUAGUAGUAUGCAGUACAUCAUACCAAGUAGUCACCAUAAUACAGGUAAUCUGUAGUCGAACUAUGGUAUCUCAACAUGCAUAAUGUCCGAAACCUUGAUGCACUUUUGAUUUCAUGAAUGAAGAUAUCAACUGGACAAUCAUAUAAAGGUGUGGAAACAGAGAACCAUUAGUUGGUUGGUCUUUCUUUUAGUAAAUUCCUACACUGUUAUUAUUAAUGCUCCUGGGGGUGAUUUUACUGCUGUUGUUGUACAGAUCUGAAAUCCAACACCAAAUAACCAUGGAGAACCUCCCGUCUGAUCUUUUAUUAAACAUAUUCAUCCGGAUUUUGGAAAAACAACUUGCUAAAACAUAUUUAUCCUUUUUUCAAUUAUUAACUUACUUUAAAAUAGAAUAUCCCACUUCAUAUUUUACAAAAUCCUCACUUUUUUUUAUAAUAGCUUCUAUAAAAGAAGUUAUCUUUUAAAAAGAUUGUACCUUACCUAGCUUGACAUCAGAAAUCAGUAAAACUUUAAAGAGUUAGUUUCAAUUUGCAUUUUAGUUUUUAUAGCUCUCCGUUAUGUCAUUAAUUAGUCACUCUUGAUGUCUUUGUGAGUUAAUUGAUCUAGAUUCGGAGCCUGUUAAUGAUACUAUUCAACUUUUUUCUAGAUGCUGUCUUCUUUUUAUUUAUGUAGAUUUUUUCCCUUUUUAUAAUUAAUAAUAUAAAGUAUCUUCGAAAUGUGCUUUACCCCAUCUAUUAAACUUUAUAAAUAACAGCGUGUGAAGGUGUAUUGAAUCAACGAUGAUGGAAAAUGGGAUGAUCAAGGAUCUGGUGAUGUCACUGUUGACUAUUUAGAGAUAUCUGAAGAAUUGGGCUUGUUUGUUGUUGAUGAAGAAGACAGCGAAACCCUGCUAAUGCAUCGAAUUUGCUCUGAUGAUAUAUAUCACAAAUAAGAAGACACUAUACUUUCUUGGAGGGAUUCAAAGUUUUCAAGUGAAAUAGCUCUUAGCUUUCAAGAAACCACAUGGUGCUCAUACAUGUGAUGAGUCAUAUCAUAGGGCUAACAAUGAGUUAAGGGAGCUACCAGCAGUAGAGCUAUCAACACUCCCUUUAGACUGUAAUUACUUUUCCAUUUCUUUUUGCUAUCAUGUUUGGGGAUUGUGGACAUGGAAUAUGCUUAUUGAUAGGUGCAUUAGUUCUCAUAGCACACGAAGGAAAGCUUAGUACUCAGAAACUUGGGAGCUUCAUGGAGAUGUUAUUUGGUGGUCGUUAUGUACUUCUUUUGAUGUCAUUUUUUUCAAUCUACUAUGGUCUAAUUUACAACGAAUUAUUUUCUGUUCCUUAUCAUAUAUUUGGUGCAUCCGCAUAUAGAUGUCGUGACCCCACAUGCAGUGAUGCAUAUACAAUUGGUUUAAUCAAAUAUCGCGAUGCAUAUCCAUUUGGUGUGGAUCCUAUAUGGCGUGGCAGUCGUUUAGAGUUACCCUUUUUAAACUCUCUCAAAAUGAAAAUGUCUUAUUUUGCUUGGAAUUGCUCAAAUGAAUCUUAGAAUCAUGUUGAGUUAAUUUAAUUCGAUUUUCUUCAACAACUCAUUGGAUAUAAGCAAAGUAGAGGUUCAAAAUUCAGGUGUUUUCACUGCAAACCCUAAAAUCCACAUGGUAGCUUCUUGGGAACCUACAGUACUAGCAACAAUUAUAAUCCCUAGUGUGGGUUCUUAGGAUUACUCUACAUGGAUGUUUUCCAUCAACGGGUUGAGCAAGAUAAUAGUAUUCAAUGGCAACUAACAAUGCGGAGCAGGUCGUGUUUGAUAAGGUUUCUGAAAUUGAUGCAUCCAAAGAGUUUUGGAACAUACAUGUUAAACCUCUUGCUUUGGAAGUAGACCUAUAAGAACAAUCCUAAUAUGGUCGGACUAAUAUGAAGCCACCCAUCAACAUUUUACAUUUCAUCUUUUACAAACAUUUUCUUUUUAAUAUUUUGUGUAUCGCACUUUUAAUUGUAUGUUUAUGUUCUUUUGGUUGUUUUUAAAAUUUUAUUGGGUUGUUAUUUGGUCUGAACGCGAUGAUGUUCAUGUUAUUUAAGACAAUUUCAAGUUAUUGAACUGUUUUGAUUUAAUGAGUA